rnacentral:rRNA from 1 species
GUGGGGAAUAUUGGACAAUGGGCGAAAGCCUGAUCCAGCCAUGCCGCGUGUGUGAAGAAGGUCUUCGGAUUGUAAAGCACUUUAAGUUGGGAGGAAGGGUAGUAACCUAAUACGUUGCUACUUUGACGUUACCGACAGAAUAAGCACCGGCUAACUUCGUGCCAGCAGCCGCGGUAAUACGAAGGGUGCAAGCGUUAAUCGGAAUUACUGGGCGUAAAGCGCGCGUAGGUGGUUCAGUAAGUUGGAAGUGAAAUCCCCGGGCUCAACCUGGGAACUGCUUUAAAAACUGCGGAGCUAGAGUACGGUAGAGGAUGGUGGAAUUUCCUGUGUAGCGGUGAAAUGCGUAGAUAUAGGAAGGAACACCAGUGGCGAAGGCGACCACCUGGACUGAUACUGACACUGAGGUGCGAAAGCGUGGGGAGCAAACAGGAUUAGAUACCCUUGUAGUCC